rnacentral:lncRNA from 1 species
CUUCAGCAGUGCCCGAUUUGACCUGCGCUAGAAGAGACGUUUGAUAAAGCAUGGCCGCCCAGAGAACAGUGAUGUUCUUGCUUGUUGCUCUAGUUCUGUGCGUCCAAGUUCAGCGUGUCUUGUCAGUGGUCUGGUGUGACAGUAUCUCCUACUGUCCCGAAGGGUACUACUGCUGUGACAACGACAUGUGCUGCCGGCCCCUAAGCUCUGGAGCAAUCGCUGGAAUUGUGCUAGGAGUCAUCUUGUGCGUAGUCCUGCCCGUCUGCAUUGCUUGCUGCCGUCAGUGUGAGGAUUCUGAAUGAACAAGAGCAGGUGGCGGGGGCGGAGUAGCGACCAGACGACCGGGCAUCCCACACGUAGCAAGGGGAGCGCCUGUACCAGCACAGGGAGGGUCCUGGGCUGGACUCUCGCACCACAACGUAUAGUGAUCUCUCCGAAACUUUCCGCCACAGCUCAGCCAUGAUGUCUGAAAUAUGAUUUCAAAUAUUUAAUAACACAAUAUAUCUCUUUUCAACUAGCUUUGUCAUUUGUUUGAGACAUUAUAUAAUUUCU